UACAUAUUUGGUGAAUGGUUAUUAACAAUAUUAAUCUCUCCGAGAUGUUUGGCAAAAUCUGCUUUUUGCAAGUCAAACUUGAUCGACCUUACUUCCACUCAUUGAUUCGUUGCCCAAUUCUUAAUCGAUACAUGUCCAAUUAAAUGACUCACUUUGUAGGAUGUAUAACCAUUAAUCCACAAAAUAUACAUUACAUAUGUAUCAUAUCUUAUGCAGUAAUAUAACCUUUUUUUUGUGGCUAUAGGAUGAUGAAACAGCUACUCUCCACACAUAUCUCCUCUCAAAACCAUAUGAAUUCUGUGAAUUACCAGGCUCAAAAUCCUUACAGUUACAUUUUCCUUUUGUUGCACACGCUACACCGUCUUCUAUUUGGCCAUUGAGAAUGUCUUUUUCAUUUUUAAAU
rnacentral:lncRNA from 1 species